GGGCCCGUAGGUAAACGGAAUACCGCGGCUCUCGCUCAGCCGAGUUCUGGGUUCAAUCCCCAGCGGGUCCACCA
rnacentral:tRNA from 1 species